GUGAAUCAUCGAAUUUUUGAACGCAAGUUGCACUCUCCUCGGAGAGUAUGCCUGUUUGAGGGUCAGCCUCUAAAAAAUCGACAUCGUUGCUGUUUCGCGGUGGCGUUUGUCGGCAAUUGGGUCAUGUUACAUCUUUUGGUUUUAAGCGACUUGAAAUUUUCUUUUUGGUUGCAUGAACGAUUCUAAGAUUUAUUUCUUUACACGUUUAAGGUAUUGAUUCUUAUUAGACCUUAUCAUCAU
rnacentral:misc_RNA from 1 species